UUUAAAAGAAUUUUUAAAGCCCAUUGCUUGCAGAGCCAAAUUCCUGGUUAUAGCUUCGUGACUUACGCAAGUUACUUGAAUUCUGUGCUUUUGUUUUUCAUCCAUGAAACAGGAUAAUAAAGGUACCUCCCUCAAGAGAGACUGCGAGAGAGCUUGGCAUCCUGCCUGCACUUAGCACUCGCUAAAUGUUAAUUGUUAUUUUAAAAUAGGAGGGAGGAGAUAAUAAAGAGGAACUUAGAUAACAGUUUUGAAUGGAAGAAGAUACGAAUAUAAAUCAAGAUUUUUCUUUUUUCAAGUGGAGUAAAUUAGACAAAUUACCAAUGGAAGAGAAGAAAGUGGAGCCUGGAAGGAACAAACGGGGCUAAGAGAAGUAGCUGAAGCGAGGGAAGGAAGAAGGGGGAAGGAGGAAAGAAGAGAGGAAGAGGGGUGAAUAAAAGCCUCCAAGGAACAAACGAGGCUGAAAGAUGUGGCUGAAGGUAGGGAAGGAAGAAAAAGGGAGGAAGAGAGGAAGAAAUAAAACCAAGGAAGCAAGAAUAAAGCUAGGCUGCGUGGGAAGAGGGGAGGAAGGAAGGAGAGAGAAAUUCAACUAGGCUCAGUGGCCAAAAUGCUGAAGUGUGUCCUGCCGGGAGGGAGUGGAGGAAUAUGUUUACUCACUAUUUAGAAAUGCAUGACAAACUCCAUCCGCUGAGGGAGAUUUUUACAAUGUAUAAACAGAGAAACAACUGUCUAAAAAUGAGCCCCAAAUGAGGAGCCUUUGCUCCAGUGAAUGAGAUUUGGCAGUUCUGCAAAAUGAGGAAAUUCUUCCUUGUGCGGCAUCUUGAAGGGUUGAGUCAUGAAACCCACAGCAAAUAUUAGUGGGCUGGAUUCCUGAAAGGCAUGCCAGAUGGACGCAUUCUGGUUAGUUUUACUGUGUGAUGUUCCCUUCUGUACUUCUGUCAAUUUUAGAAGAAAAGAGUGUGAAUAAAGAUUUGAGAAGUGAACUUAAAAGCCAAACUAGUUACUUAAUGUACGAGUAUCCACCCACCAGGAGCUUACAGUUACAGAUUCCAAAACAAGCAACCGUUUCUCCCACUUUCAUUUUCCCUCCCCUUUGUUUCUACUUUCACCGUAUUGCUUUUUAUCCAUUUUUAUAAUAUGAUUUUUUACAGUGGAACCGCCUACGGGAAAGGUGCUUUUAAUUAAUACGAAAGAAUGGAAGGAAUUUCAGCUAGGCCUCUCUAAGAGGGUAAAGCUUUGUGAAAGAAAGGUUUUUUAGCUGAAGUUUUAAUGAGAAUAAGAGUAGUUGGCAGAUGUGAAAUCAGAAGUUUUUUCAGACAAGAAAAUAAUACGACUCGAGUGAAAGGGAAUGGACUAGAAAUCAGAAACAGUUCUAUUCCUUAAUUACCGUAAGAACCAAAGACUGGAGGAAAGUUUUUCCUAUUCUAUAAAGAAAAAUGGGGGCCUCCCUCCACCAGCCAGACCUUCAAAAAAGGAAAAAAUAAAAAUUAAAAACCUCUAUUAGAUUCUUGUAAUGAUUUGCUUUUUCUUAGGAGAACUUCUUCAGGGUAAAAGACGUGAAAGUGCUUCUUUCGGCAACUUCUGACGAAAUACUUUUGUAGAAGCAAAAUUUCUGAAGGGAUAAUUUUUGCUCAAGCAAAAAACUAUUAGUAAGAUAAGAAUCCCUUUUCCUUUGUUUCAAUUUUGCUAAGCCUUCAGGCUGAGGCAAACAGAUUAUCAUUAAACCUUUAUUAAUGUGAAACCAAAAAAAGAUAAAAUCUUAAAUGCUGCGAAGCCCUUAACCUAAAAGGAGCAAGAAAACAAACCAAGGCCCAGAAAAUAGAGAAAGGGAUUAGGAAGCCUUUCUAAGGGGAACCUUUGAACUGUGGGCUGUAAAAUGAAUGUCUGUGACUUGCCUUAAACAAAUAGGCAAUAUAAACUAAAGCUGGGAACUAAGAAGAUCUCCUCAGAUCAGAUAAAAAGCUUACCUUGUGUGAAACACUGUGGUCAAAGAAGAAAAUUCCUUUCAUCUUAAGUGGAGACAAAAACGUGUAUCACUUGUUUUGUGUGUGCUCAUAAAACACCUCCAUCACCUGAAUCCCUUGGGUGCAAUUUUUUGAUGGACUUGGCAUUCUUUAAACUGAACCUUGACUCAGGUUUUGAUCAUGUGAAUUUAUCCAGAGGUGGAUUGUGAGUAAAGAGAAUGGAUAGUAACAGACAACUAGCAAUCAGCUACAAAUCUCAACAGAGCCAGAGGCUUUACCAGCACUCACUUGCCUGUUAAUAUCAGUUGCUUCAGACUUGAAGUGUAAGAAUUGGAGGGAAAGAAAAUGGCAGAUGGUGCAACUGAUCUGCAGAGAAGCUAAUUAACUUGCCCAAAGUUAUGGAGCUAAGGAAUGGCUUUAGAAAGCAAAAGAAAAAUUUUUUAUUAAGAAAUGAAAAGAAAAAAGACGCAGUAUGGACUCAGACUGAUAAACCAUUUGCAUGAGAGAACUAUACACCAUUUGAAAAAGAGCUUUUUUGCAAGGUGUGGUGGCUAACUCCUGUAACCCUGGCAACUCGAAAGGCUGAGGCAGGAGGAUCACUU